rnacentral:rRNA from 1 species
GAUGAACGCUGGCGGCGUGCCUAAUACAUGCAAGUCGAGCGAAGCGGGGACGGGUGAGUAACACGUGGAUAACCUCCUAUAAGACUGGGAUACCACCGGGAAAAAGGAGCAAAACCGGAAACUUAAAGUAGGACCCGCGCUGCAUUAGCUGGUUGGUAAGGUAACGGCUUACCAAGGCAACGAUGCAUAGCAGGACUGAGCGGGUGAUCGGCCACACUGGAACUGAGACACGGUCCAGACUCCGACGGGAGGCAGCAGUAGGGAAUCUUCCGCAAUGGGCGAAAGCCUGACGGAGCAACGCCGCUUGAGUGAUGAAGGUCUUCGGAUCGUAAACCCCUUUUAUUAGGGAAGCGGUACCUAUUCAGAAAGCCACGGCUAACUACGUGCCAGCAGCCGCGGUAAUUC